UUAUAGAACAUGGUUUAUGGAUUUUGGUAAAUUUUUCUGUCUGUUCAAAUUCGCCUGCAUGGCACAGUGGUUAGAGUGUCUGCUCUAGUAGAGUCGCGAAAUAAGGUGUUGAUCCUUACAUCAUGAGUUUGAAUCCCACUGUGGGAUGUGGAGACCUGUCCUUGGGAUGAUACAGUAUAACUGUGGCCCCUUGUUGCAGUAGGUCAGGUGUUGGCACAAAAAAGAUCCCUUCCUGCUCAAUCAGUCAAUGGCCCUGAGUGCUGAGUAUAGGUCAUUAGGACAAAAUUUGCAGCUCUCCACUGUCGUUUCCAUAUGAGUGAAAAAUUCUUGAGAGGAACGAUAAACAAUAAACAAUCAAUCUGUCUGUUCAAUUUAUUCACUGAUAUUACACAACUGUAUACACUAAAACUUAUUUAUAGCAGAGGUACAAGAGAACCAGUAACACAGAUAAAAGAUGCAGUUCCUAAGAGAUCCAAAGUCAGCAGCACCUACGACUAUACUGACUUUGAAUUAUCAGCAUCCAAAACAAUGCAAAUCAAAUACAGGUUUUGUCUGUACAUCUGGCAAUCUUGGGGCAAUACUGGAUGGUUUUAACUAAGAACUGAUCCAGCAUGAAGACCAGCCAUGUGCCUCACCUGUCAUGACAUUAUUAAAGUACUUUGUGACAGUGGGAUGAUGGAAUAUUAAAGAAUGGACAUGGCUCUAUAUUACUGCAUCAGAGAUCAAUCCAGGUUUACUUAUAAAUCAAAGAAAAACACUUAAACAGUCAAGCAUCAUUUGAAGCUACAUGUGUCACCGCUUUAACAAUAUGCCUGCUUAUAUAACCAAGAAAGCACAGUGACCAGUUGUACCUAUGAUGUCGGACAAGAUCCCGAAAAAACUUCCAGUACACUCAUCACUACCUGCAAAGAAUUGAAAAUUCUAAAUGACUUGUAUCAACACUUUUGUACUUCAUCUGGCUUGUAUUUUCAAUACUCAUUAGCUUUUAGCUUCCUGCAUACAAAAUUUCAUAAGUACUAACUUGCAGGUGUAAAAUAUUUGAAACAGUUUGCUUGUCCCAAAGGAAAUUCUGCCAAUUAGCAGUGGCAUGAGCAGUUGAUUGAUGUCACAGUUCCACCGGCAAAGUAUUUGUAGCUGAAUGGUGCCAUGUAAAACACUUUUCACAAGAACAUGGAAAACAUCCUAGAAGUGAGGAUCUACAAGAAAUUAAGAGAAUACUUUCUUGAAUAUUUUCAAUGUUAUAAAAUGCUUGUGUACAUCCUUUAUAUAUAAAACUAAUUACGCAUGUAACUACCAAAUAUACAAAUUAAACUUCAAUCCUUAAA